UUGACCUCGGAUCAGGUAGGAAUACCCGAUGAACUAA
rnacentral:rRNA from 1 species